rnacentral:rRNA from 2 species
GGCGACGAUCUGUAACUGGUCUGAGAGGAUGAUCAGUCACACCGGAACUGAGACACGGUCCGGACUCCUACGGGAGGCAGCAGUGGGGAAUAUUGGACAAUGGGGGCAACCCUGAUCCAGCCAUGCCGCGUGUGUGAAGAAGGCCUUUUGGUUGUAAAGCACUUUAAGCAGGGAGGAGAGGCUAAUGGUUAAUACCCAUUAGAUUAGACGUUACCUGCAGAAUAAGCACCGGCUAACUCUGUGCCAGCAGCCGCGGUAAUACAGAGGGUGCGAGCGUUAAUCGGAAUUACUGGGCGUAAAGCGAGUGUAGGUGGCUCAUUAAGUCACAUGUGAAAUCCCCGGGCUUAACCUGGGAACUGCAUGUGAUACUGGUGGUGCUAGAAUAUGUGAGAGGGAAGUAGAAUUCCAGGUGUAGCGGUGA